GACUACAGGGGUAUCUAAUCCUGUUUGCUCCCCACGCUUUCGCGUCUCAGCGUCAGUCACCGUCCAGAUGGCCGCCUUCGCCACCGGUGUUCCUCUCGAUAUCUACGAAUUUCACCUCUACACCGAGAAUUCCACCAUCCUCUCCGGGACUCAAGUCUCGCAGUUUCGAAUGCACUUCCUCAGUUGAGCCAAGGGCUUUCACAUCCGACUUGCUAGACCGCCUACACGCGCUUUACGCCCAGUAAUUCCGAACAACGUUUGCACCCUCUGUCUUACCGCGGCUGCUGGCACAGAGUUAGCCGGUGCUUGCUAAGGAGGUACCGUCAUCGGUGCGGGUAUUAGCCGCCCCUUAUUCUUCCCUCCCCACAGGGCUUUACAACCCGAAGGCCUUCAUCACCCACGCGGCGUCGCUGCGUCAGGCUUUCGCCCAUUGCGCAAAAUUCCCCACUGCAGCCACCCGUAGG
rnacentral:rRNA from 1 species